rnacentral:lncRNA from 1 species
CUACAAAAAAAGUCUACAUUGAUAGCACAUUGUUAUAGCACGUUUUACUGAACUGCUGUCGUAGAUGAUUUAAAUAUUUAUGUAUUAUAUUAUAGCAUUAGAUAAACGCUAUGGUAGAAUAAAACCUAAAAUAGCACUUAAUUAAUGUUAUUUUAAAAAUUAAGUGAGCGAGAAUAUAAAGUCACAGAUACCGCCAACACUUAGCCAAAGAUAUUUUUAAGCGGCUUCAACAAUGCUAUCAAAGACAUAUAAUAGCAUUUUUAUAACGCUAAGAAAAGCUCUUUGAACCCCUAAACUCUAAACAUGGUUUUAAACUCUAAACAUUGUUUUAAACCCUAAACUUUAAAGACAACCUUUAAACCUCUAAUCUUUUCAUACUAUAACUUCAAAUCUUAAAAUUAAAAUCAAAAUUUAAUCUUUUUAAUCUUAAUCUAUAAUUUCCUAAACACAUAUCUUUAAUCUUUAAUCAAACUCUAUAUCUUAAAUCUAAACUUCAAAUGUAAACUAAACAUUCAAUACUCUAAAUAUAAACUUCAAAUCUAAAUUAUUAAAUAUUUAACUACAAAUCGUCUAAUAUUCAAAUCUAUUAUUUUUGAAUCUUAAUCCAAAACACUAAAUUUUAACCCUAAACCUCAUAUUCCAACAUCAACACCUUAAAUCAUAAAACUAAAUUUACUCUUAAUCAUUUUUUUUUGUAAAUCAUAAAAUAUAAAUUUAAAACUUUUUCAAAUUUUGAAUCAAACAUACAAAUUUAUAAACGGAUUAUAAAUCAGUUUUUUUAUAAACAUGCAAAUUUAAAAAUGAUGACCAAAAUCAUAAUGAUGAUAUUAAUCUAAUAUUUUCAAACUUAAACAUCAAUUCAUAAAAUAAAUAUCAGUUUAUUAGGUUCAAAAAAUAAAAAAUUUAGACUUAAAUUAUAAACUACAAAAUAUUAAUUUUGAAAUAAGAUAUAACUAAUAAAAAUCACUUACAAAACAAAUUAUCAAAUAUGGAAAGACAAAACAAAAAUAAAAAUAAAAAAAACAAAAACAAAAUUGUCUGGGCAAUCAGAUUAAAGUACAUGGAUCACACUUUUGAACCGUUAGAUUAACUUAGAUCUGAAGGUUAAGAUUUAUUCCUUUAAUUUUUAUUUUUAUUUUCUCCUCUCCCUCUCUCUCUCUCACUCUCAACUCCACGGAUCUGGUCUUCAUGUUCUUCUCCUUCAUUCUCAUCUCUCCCAUCCCUCUCCAAGCUUACUGUUUCUCUCAUCUCUCCUAUCUCUCUCCACGCCUCUCUCAUCUCUCCCAUCUCUCUCCCACCGCGUCUCCUCCUCGUCUCACCACCACCAGGGUCGCCCUCUCACCACCACCACCACGGUCGCCCUCCCACCACCACCACGGUCGCACUCCCACCACCACCACGGUUGAUCUCUCUCUCUCUCUCUCUCUAUCUCUUUGUAUCUGUGUAUCUUCUCUCUGUUUCUGUAGUAUGAAUCUGUUGUUGUUUUGUUUUGGUAAAGAUAGUUGGGGAG